rnacentral:rRNA from 1 species
CCUACGGGAGGCAGCAGUGAGGAAUAUUGGUCAAUGGACGAGAGUCUGAACCAGCCAAGUAGCGUGAAGGAUGACUGCCCUAUGGGUUGUAAACUUCUUUUAUAUGGGAAUAAAAUGUUCCACGUGUGGGAUUUUGUAUGUACCAUAUGAAUAAGGAUCGGCUAACUCCGUGCCAGCAGCCGCGGUAAUACGGAGGAUCCGAGCGUUAUCCGGAUUUAUUGGGUUUAAAGGGAGCGUAGGUGGAUUGUUAAGUCAGUUGUGAAAGUUUGCGGCUCAACCGUAAAAUUGCAGUUGAAACUGGCAGUCUUGAGUACAGUAGAGGUGGGCGGAAUUCGUGGUGUAGCGGUGAAAUGCUUAGAUAUCACGAAGAACUCCGAUUGCGAAGGCAGUUCACUGGACUGCAACUGACGCUGAGGCACGAAAGUGUGGGUAUCAAACAGGAUUAGAUACCCCAGUAGUC